AACGAACGCUGGCGGCAUGCCUAACACAUGCAAGUCGAACGAGACCUUCGGGUCUAGUGGCGCACGGGUGCGUAACGCGUGGGAACCUGCCCUUAGGUUCGGAAUAACUCCCCGAAAGGGGUGCUAAUACCGGAUAAUGUCUUCGGACCAAAGAUUUAUCGCCUUUGGAUGGGCCCGCGUUGGAUUAGCUAGUUGGUAGGGUAAAAGCCGACCAAGGCGACGAUCCAUAGCUGGUCUGAGAGGAUGAUCAGCCACACUGGGACUGAGACACGGCCCAGACUGCGACGGGAGGCAGCAGUGGGGAAUAUUGGAGAAGGGGCGAAAGCCUGAUCCAGCAAUGCCGCGUGAGUGAUGAAGGCCUUAGGGUUGUAAAGCUCUUUUACCCGGGAUGAUAAUGACAGUACCGGGAGAAUAAGCUCCGGCUAACUCCGUG
rnacentral:rRNA from 1 species